AAGACUGUCUGCUGAAGAGGUCCAGUUGCAUGAGGAAUCCGAUAGAAGGUCGACCGAUAGCAAAAUUCGGAAGGUGCUAUAGAAGGUUGACCGAUAGAAGAGUUUGGAAGGCAUUGUGAAAGUUCGUCUGCUGGAGGAGUCUGGAGGACACUACGGAAGGUCGACCGCUGGAGGGGUCCGAAGGGAAUUUGUCCGUUGGAGGGGUCUGGUUGGCACUGUUGAAGUCUGGUUGGCACUGCUGAAGGUUGAUGGCUGGAGAGGUACGGAAGACACCAGAGACAGUCGGUCACUGUAGA
rnacentral:lncRNA from 1 species